UGGCCAUUUUGAGCUUGUGCUGUGCUUGCUCUAUUUUGCUUUAGAACUAUGUUGAUUUUCAUGCUCAAGAGCUUGGCCAUUUCGAACUUGUGUUGUAAUAUUUCUACAAGACUUUAUUUCCCUGCUUUUCAUAGUGCUUGCCCCAAUGCUUGCUCUUUUAUGAUUGAUUUCCAUGUUCUUAUCACUCUUAGAACCGUCUUGCUUUUAUUCUCAUGCUUGCUUGCUCUUUCUACUUGACCAUGUUGUAGUAUCUCCACUAGACUUGAUUUACCUACUUUUCAAAGUACUUGCUCCAAUGCUUGCUCUUCUUAUAUCAUGAGCAAUGAAUGAUUUUGCACUUAAAUUGCUAUCACUAACUAUUUUUGGUACAUAGCAUCCAUGAUUCCCAACAACCAUGAUUAUUAUAUGUGUCCUUCUUCCAAACCCUUGCCAUGCCUCACUUGGCAUUCCACUAAAUGAAUCAAUUUGAUUAAUCUCUAUAUGCUUAUGACUAACUUCUUUUUGACUCAUAACAUCCAUGAUUGGCAACAACCAUGAUUGGUAUAUAU
rnacentral:lncRNA from 1 species